GCCUAGACGUAAACAAUUUAUUUACAUACUUUAACGCCCGGGUAUUACGAGCAUUGCUUAAAACCCAAAGGACUUGACGGUGUCUCACCCACCUAGAGGAGCCUGUUCUAUAAUCGAUAACCCCCGCUUUACCUAACCAUUCUUUGCCUAAUCAGUCUGUAUACCUCCGUCGGAAGCUUACCAUAUGAACGCCCAUAGUAAGCCCAAUGGUCACCCACCAACACGUCAGGUCAAGGUGCAGCUUAUAGGAUGGAAAGAAAUGGGCUACAAUUUCUAAAUUAGAACAAACGAAAGGCUGUCUGAAACCCCCAGUCAUGAAGGAGGAUCUAGUAGUAAAAGGGGAAUAGAGAGCUCCUUUUAACCUGGCACUGAGACGCGUACACACCGCCCGUCACCCUCUUCAAUAGUUAUUCGUCUAGAUUAUUAACAAAUUAACCACGCCUU
rnacentral:rRNA from 1 species